rnacentral:rRNA from 1 species
AACACCCUCUCGUGAGGGGGCUUGACGGUACUGUAUGAAUAAGGAUCGGCUAACUCCGUGCCAGCAGCCGCGGUAAUACGGAGGAUCCAAGCGUUAUCCGGAAUCAUUGGGUUUAAAGGGUCCGUAGGCGGGACAAUAAGUCAGUGGUGAAAGUCUGCAGCUCAACUGUAGAACUGCCAUUGAUACUGUUGUUCUUGAGUAAUUAUGAAGUGGUUAGAAUAUGUAGUGUAGCGGUGAAAUGCAUAGAUAUUACAUAGAAUACCGAUUGCGAAGGCAGAUCACUAAUAAUUUACUGACGCUGAUGGACGAAAGCGUAGGUAGCGAACAGGAUUAGAUACCCUGGUAGUCUACGCCGUAAA